rnacentral:rRNA from 1 species
UGAGGGAUUUUGCGCAAUGGGCGGAAGCCUGACGCAGCAACGCCGCGUGAGUGAAGAAGGCCUUUGGGUUGUAAAGCUCUGUCGACAGGGAAGAAGUUAAUGUAAUUUAAUAGAUUGCGUUAUUGACGGUACCUGAGAAGGAAGCAUCGGCUAACUCCGUGCCAGCAGCCGCGGUAAUACGGGGGGUGCAAGCGUUAUUCGGAAUUAUUGGGCGUAAAGGGCGCGUAGGCGGUUUUAAAAGUCAGGUGUGAAAGCCCGUGGCUUAACCACGGAAGAGCAUUUGAAACUAUAAGACUUGAGUACGGUAGAGGAAAGCGGAAUUCCUGGUGUAGAGGUGAAAUUCGUAGAUAUCAGGAGGAACACCGGUGGCGAAGGCGGCUUUCUGGGCCUGUACUGACGCUGAGGCGCGAAGGCGUGGGUAGCGAACAGGAUUAGAUACCCUGGUAGUCCAUGCAGUAAACGUUGUACACUUGGUGUUGCGGGUAUUGACC